CCGGAGCUUGAUCUUUGGGCUCUUCUUCCAUCCUUUUGCAAUUAUCCUGUGGACAAGGUGAUUGCAAAGCUUCUUGAGGAAGAUCUUAGAGGAGUGAUCUCUUCCAGCAUCCAGAUAUUGGAAAAGCAAAACAAAAGGAAAAAGCAUGUUAUUCCAAGGACAUUGCAUCGGGCAAACUUGUCAGCCAUUUCUGCGUUUUCGGAUAAGUUUCUUCCUCUUCUUUUCAAUAUUUUUUGUGAUUCACCACCAGAAAAACGGGGAGAGUUACAGGUACUAGGAUGCAUCUUCUUUGUCUUUCUAGUAGUAACAAUUCCGAACGGUCAUGGAGAAACUUUUGAAAGCCACGAAACAUACAUAUGCGAAAGAGACAAGUCUGAGCGGACGAGCUCGAAGUUUGGCCUGGCGUGCUUGAUCCAGUCGAAGCGGACGAUGGCAUUGGAGUAAACGAUCCAGCCAACAACGACGCUAGUGUGGAUUCUCCAGAAGCUGGUGUUGAUAGUGAUGAUCCGGUUAAAGCUGGCGAAGUUGACGAUGAUACUACCAGCAUCGGCUCGCCAGCUGACGAACUACUAGAUCCUACUGAAGCUGCCGUUUCAACACCAGAGCCACUUGCGGAAACUGACGGUCCCGCAUUAGAUCCAGAACUCUCUGCUGCGAUUACCAGCGUCAACAACAUUAGAAACCAAACCAUACUCCAAGACUUUAUACCUGAGUCAAAACUUGGAGCCGCUCCAGGGGCUGCCGCCUGCGGGCUAGUUGCAGCAGUGCUCCCGCUCCCACCUUUAUGAAAAUAUUA